GACGAACGCUGGCGGCGUGCCUAAUACAUGCAAGUAGAACGCACAGUCUAUACCGUUGCUUGCUACACCAUAGACUGUGAGUUGCGAACGGGUGAGUAACGCGUAGGUAACCUGCCUGGUAGCGGGGGAUAGCUAUGGGAAACGAUAGCUAAUACCGCAUAAUAUUAAUUAUUGCAUGAUAAUUGAUUGAAAGAUGCAACUGCAUCACUACCAGAUGGACCUGUGUUGUAUUAGCUAGUAGGUGAGGUAACGGAGUACCUAGGCGACGAUACAUAGACGACCUGAGAGGGUGGUCGGCCACCCUGGGACUGGAACACGGCCCAGGCUCCUGAGGGAGGCAGCAGUAGGGAAACUUCCGCAAUUGGGGAAAAUCUGACCGAACAACGCCGCGUUGGUGAAUGAAGGUCUCGGAUCGGAAAGCUCUGUUGUAAGGGAAAAACCGAUGUGGGAGUUGACAGUGCACGCUGUGACGGUAUCUGACCAGAAAGCCACGGCUAACUACGUG
rnacentral:rRNA from 1 species